UACGAAGGGGGCUAGCGUUGUCCGGAAUCACUGGGCGUAAAGGGUGCGUAGGCGGGUCUUUAAGUCAGGGGUGAAAUCCUGGAGCUCAACUCCAGAACUGCCUUUGAUACUGAGGAUCUUGAGUUCGGGAGAGGUGAGUGGAACUGCGAGUGUAGAGGUGAAAUUCGUAGAUAUUCGCAAGAACACCAGUGGCGAAGGCGGCUUACUGGUCCGGAACUGACGCUGAGGUGCGAAAGCGUGGGGAGCAAACAGG
rnacentral:rRNA from 1 species